CUGCUCACUGGGGGAAUGCGGGGCCGGACCCUGAACCCUCGGACCAUUUACCCAGUGUUGCCGAAACUCCUUGCCCUCCUGCCCAUGUCCUUUCAGAAGCGACUUCACUGCAGAAGCUGUAGCCAGGACCUCUCCAUGGACACUGCUAUGUUUCCAGAGAAGAUGAGUAAUGGGAUGCUGAGGGGCAGCAGAGACAAGGAGGCCAUGGCAGUGCCUGAGGAAGGCUCAGCCCACCAGGCGAGCAGCCCCACCUUCAUCCUCCAGGAGACCUCACUGUGAUCUGGACUCAGGACCCAGGCGUCUGUC